AGAAUAAUGUUUUUUUUGGGAAAUAGAAAAAGACCCUUCGGCUUCUCCUCUCUCGAAUCCUUCUAUCUCUUCCUUUCUCCUACGUAUUAUAAAUUAUAUGUUUAAUUCUCACAACAGAAAUUAAUUAGUUGAUUUAAGAGGGUGAAGACGUGGUCAUGGCAAGUAAAGUUUCUAAUUCUCUGAAUAAAGCUGUAGUUAAAACUUCGAUUUACUGGAGAAUGAGGACUACGCCGGAGCAUUUCUUGAAAUGAAUGACAAAUUGCGAAGAAAAUGGUUGAUACGGAAACUUCGUCCCAAGGACAAGAUGAAGAUUUGUKUGAGAGUGGCCAUAAACAAGGUAGUUGUUCUAUGGGUUUGGAGAUUGUAUAUGAUCGCGGAUUUGAAGGCUAAAAUUGCAGCAGAAGAAGGUAUUCCCAUUCAACAAAAAGUCUUGAAUUUCCAAGGACGUAGGCUUGAAGAUAGCGAAACUCUAGCAGACUAUGGCAUCAGAAGCGAUAAUGUUGUGUGCAUGUUUUAGAUCAGAAGAAUUUGUGUUGCACCCCCACCACCACCUGAUUGAAGUUGAAAAAGUACUCGCUUUGACAAACAAGGAAACCACCAAGUCUCAUCCUCUAGUACAGGGAACGGACCGGUGAUUGCCAAGAACCGACAAUCGCUCAACGGGCCCAUGCCCUGAAAUACAUUGAUAGAACAUACAUCUACCCCAUCUACCGCUAUAAAUACACCACUCACCCAUGGGUUCAAGUACGAAAAUCUGUCUGAUGUUUAAAUAUUGACUUGGGUGUCGGAGUGGCUUACCUCCAUGCAAGUACUCGAGAAUCRUUCUAAGUGGUGCCAACGACCUCUGAAGUCGUCUUCCGUACCUCGUCAGSAUUUUGCAUCAACAACUARGAUGAACUGUUAUUAGCUUAAAUUCCAAUGUGAUGUUCAUUUGAAUGAAUGAUAAAAUAAAUAGUAUGAAUCUAUUUUAUUCUAGAA